rnacentral:rRNA from 1 species
GACGAACGCUGGCGGCGUGCUUAACACAUGCAAGUCGAACGGAGAGGCCCUGCUUUUGUGGGGUGCUCGAGUGGCGAACGGGUGAGUAACACGUGAGUAACCUGCCCUUGACUUUGGGAUAACUUCAGGAAACUGGGGCUAAUACCGGAUAGGAGCUCCUGCUGCAUGGUGGGGGUUGGAAAGUUUCGGCGGUUGGGGAUGGACUCGCGGCUUAUCAGCUUGUUGGUGGGGUAGUGGCUUACCAAGGCUUUGACGGGUAGCCGGCCUGAGAGGGUGACCGGCCACAUUGGGACUGAGAUACGGCCCAGACUCCUACGGGAGGCAGCAGUGGGGAAUAUUGCACAAUGGGCGGAAGCCUGAUGCAGCAACGCCGCGUGCGGGAUGACGGCCUUCGGGUUGUAUACCGCUUUCGCCUGUGACGAAGCGUGAGUGACGGUAAUGGGUAAAGAAGCACCGGCUAACUACGUG